rnacentral:rRNA from 1 species
GACAGAGGUCCCGAGCGUUAGGCGGAAUCACUGGGCUUAAAGCGUGUGUAGGCGGCGGCCUAAGUACCUUGUGAAAUCCCACGGCUCACCCGUGGAACUGCUCGGUAUACUGGGUCGCUUGAGCCACUUAGGGGCUACCGGAACAAAAUGGGUGGAGCGGUGAAAUGCGUAGAUAUCAUUUGGAACGCCAAUGGUGAAAACAGGUAGCUGGGAGUGUGCUGACGCUGAGACACGAAAGCCAGGGGAGCAAACGGG